rnacentral:lncRNA from 1 species
CGCCUUUAAUUGUUAAUUGCAUGCUAUAUGAUGUUGCUCAAAUGAACAUGUUUUCACAAAAUAAUUCCUUCAAGUGGUAUCAGAGCCUAGGUCUAGUAGUUGGUGAAUCCUUUUGGGUUUUGUAGUUCAUAAGUUUGUGAUUUAAAAGUUGUAAUUGUUACAAGCUUUAUUCUUGCUUCUUUGAAUGUAAAUUUUGUUGGAAAAUUUGCCAUCUCAAAUGUUGUAGAUGUUGUUCAUAUGAGCAUGAAUGAAUAUUGGAGCUAAAAUUUGGUGCCAUGCUUUUGGGAAAAUUCGGCCAAAUCCAAAGGGUGGAAUUUUGGGUUCUUGUUUGACUUGUUAAAAGUGUUUUUAAUGUGUUCUUUGGAACCCUAAGUACCUAAGUACCCUAGUUUGGUUAGAUGUUAUUUCCCUUAAGUAAGAAUGGUUUUGGAAUGUUUUUGGGUGAAAAAAAGUUCAUGGAAAAAUUUGGGUUUUUCAUGAAUGUUCUUCAUUGUUCUUGAUGUUCUUGCCAAGAACAAAAAGGUUUGGUGUUUUGUUUCAAAGUUUUGAAUUAUUUCAUAAAGUUUAUGUGAUAUGUUUUUAAAUGAUUUAUUUUGUAUUUAAAGUGUUAGAUAUUUGUAUAAAUGAUGAUUGAAAUAAUUGUGAUUGAAUUAUUUCAAAAACUUAUCUUACAUACACUUGCAUGAUUAAUUUUGACAAAACUCACAAAUCAACACACACACCAACCUUAUCUCUCCCCUAAAACCGGCCACUCCCUCAAAGGGAGUACUUUUGGGGCUUUUAUGCAAUUACAUAAAGUUUUGAUACUUUUGUGUAUUUGCACUUUGGCCCAAAAGUUUACGUUUUUACGUUAAGGUCCAAAAACGCUAAAGGACAAAUUGUUUUGAUCCUUUAAUGAAGUUUUUGCAUUAUUAAAAGUUUGGGUUCUAGUUGUAUUUACAUGAAGUUGUGACUUUUGUGUAUUGUACAAAGUGACCCCAAAAGUUUUUGUUAUUGCAAUAUGGCCCAAAAGUUGAGGUUAAUUGCAUGAUGGCCCAAAUAGGAUGAGAACAAAAUUGUUUUGUCUCUUUAAAUGAGAAUUGGAUUUUCAUUUUGUUUAGCUCCAUUUAAAUCAAUUUUAUGGAUACAAAAAUCAAAUGAAAAUGUUGCAUUCAUUUAAUUAGUUAAAGUGUUAAUUAAUUAAAGGGUGAUUAUGAACCUAAGCCUAAUAUAAUUGAGCUAUGUGAAAGGCCGUUUCAAAUUUGUUUGAACCAUGGGAAUGUGUAGAUUAGAUUUUGGUUGUAAUUUGAUUUGAUCAAAUGUUGUAAAAGGGCUUAAGCUCUUCUUUACUUUAAAGUAAUUUGUUAUAUGCAAAUGUUGUAAUGAGCAUAAGCUCACCUUUACUUUGAAGUACUUCUUUCUUGCUUUAUAUGAUAUGCAUGAAAAUGAAGUAGUUGGGUACAACGCCCAUAAGACAACACGCCUUAAUGUGAUUAAACGCGUAACUAAAAUCAAUCACCAUUCCUAGACCGAGAUUCAACACAAGGCUCGUGUUGAAUCUAAACAAAGGUUCAUAAUCAUCCUUAGGCCCUAAGGCAACUAUAUAUUGUCCAUCAAAUGAAUGCAAAGUUUAUGUUAGUAGUAUCAUAUACUCUUGCUUUAAAAAUCGUUUUAAAAGCAUAGUGGGAGUAUUAUGUACAACUAAAACAAUGAGAUGGACCAAUAGUUGUAAUAGGACCAAAAUAGUUUUAAUAGAGAUUAAAAUGUAUGUUUAUAUGUGAUGAGACCUAAAACCCUCAACCAAACCAAUAUUAAGUUGAUAAGCGGAGAGUGCUUAGAACACUCUUUCGUGGCCUUCCACCGUGGUGGGCUUCAAUCGUUUGUGACUCGUACAAUGUAUUCGUCCAGUUCUGGGGUUGCAAAGUAUGUGCUUACAUUCAGGAGAAGCCUAUACACAUAUGAUGAAGUGAAAGGUAGGCAACGAGUGUGGCCAAUAUGGAGUUCUUCUGAGGCCAUUCUUGAACCCCUACUUGAACUAGCAUGGUGGGAAUGACUUAACUAAGUGCAAUGGUGCCAAUAUGGAGUUCUUCUGAGGCAUCAUUCUCUAGAGGCCAAACGAGAUGGGUAUUUGCAUUAGUUGCAAAUGAGUAAGCGUACUCUCUCAUUAUUAUUGUUGCUAGCCAAUAUGGAGUUCUUCUGAGGUGGGCUUGGUAAUAGUGAGCCUCCCAUAACCUACUAGGAGUUUCAUCCAAAACUCUCGAAUUCCAAUGAGGGUUAUGGAAUUUGCCAAAAAUAGUGGGUGGUGCUAUUUUGAUUUAAAGACCCGAAUCAAAUGGCUUAAAAUCAAUCAAUCUAUAUUCGUUAUGUAUUUGUUUACCAAUAUAUUUGCAAACGCUAUCCAACACUUGACAAAACCGAAUGUUUUAGUUUCCGGACUUGGUACCAUAAUCCCAAAGAAUGUCUAAAUGGAUUGUAUAUGUAUCUAAGUAGUCUCAUCCUCACAAUCUUCCUAAUGAUAAUGUAUCAUUGGAAGAACAUGUUAGAAAGGUCUAUCAUGAAGAGGACAACACUUUUAAAUGUCAUAAUUCUUCAAUUACAAUUUGUUGUAUGAAGAAAUAGGAGUUGCUUUGAACAACCCUUAGUCAAUGCAAACACUAGUGCUUGUUUCUUUGUUAAAUGAACAAAGAACUUGAGAAGAAAGCACAAAGGCAUGGACACUUAAUGUGCCAUGAUUCUUCAUUUACAAAUGUUGUAUGAAGAAAUGAGAGUUGCCUUGUACAACUCUUGAAGGUUUGUAAUUAUGUUUAGAACAUAAUGGUUGGUUGACAAAAAUAGUCCAUUAACAUGGACUUAUGAUGAUUUUGAAUCAUUGAGUGUUGAAGUGAUAAACCACUUAACGAGACGGAAACUAGGCAAGGACUUCACCUUUGUUUCCCUAUCCUAAUCGUUCACUAAGUUUAUUGUAAACUAUGUAGUGAAAAAUAACCACAUACUCUCCAAAAUGUUUGAUGUGUAUAACACAAUUGAAAAAGGUUUCAAGAGAGAUAGUGGGAGUUUAGGGACCAUGACUAUUGUAGUCAAAGGAGAAGUCGAAUAAAGAAGAUAAAUAACUCCAAGGGAACAAACUUUCUUUAUGAAAGGAUGGAUAUUGGAAGGGGUAUUUGCAAGAAAUGUCUUGCAAGUGUCAAGGACACACCUUUCGAAGGUGUCGUAAAUUGUUCUUGAAUAGUUCAAAACAGUUGGUUCUUCUACUUGAAUGCUUGAUUCCGUAUUAGUAACUAUGUUUUACAAUCGUUGUAAAAGUGUGGCUAAUAAGAAGUAGAAGAUUAAUGAGAGAAGAGAAAGUACUUCACAUUCGGAAAGUGAAUAAAAUAUAGAUUUCUGCGAAAGCAGAUGGUACUUACUUCCUCAUAUGAACUACCAAAGAAAUUGGAAAAACAUAGAUUGUCUUUAUAUUCCAAUUUUAAGGAACUAAAUUCCGUCACUAUGUGAAAUGGAUAAAUGUUUUGUUUGACAAAACAAUGUUCUUUAUUAAUCAAUAAUUGGAUUAUGGUAAUCUAAUUAAUUAUCUCUAUAGUAGAGAUAAUAUGGUAGUGUUAACUGUUUAGAAAAUAAUGAUGCUUAAAACCCAAAAGGUUGCAAGGUAGUGACUAAUCCCAACUAAAGUUGUGAUACCUCUAAAACAUAAAUUAUGAGUUGGUCAUAGAUGGACGCUUUGGAUCGUUAGAUCCGGAUCCAAUACCUUCUUGUUAAAAUUGCAUGGAGGCGAAAUGUUCGAAUCUUUAUUCUUUUGGAAAGAAGAAAGAAUCACAAAGUUGUUGAGGUUAAUUCACUUAGAUGUUAGUGGUACUUGUCCACAAACAUAAUACUACUCAUGUUGAAUAAACAUUCACCGAAGAUCACUCUCGGUUGGACUAUAGUUUAUUUUGAAUAAACACAAGUCCGAAUACUUUGCAAAAUGUUUCAAAGAAUUCAAGAAAUGUAAGUUGAUGAGUAAGACAUCUAAAGUAUUUACCUCCUUAGAUUUGAUCCAAGGAAAGGUAACACUUUAGAUGAGUUUCCUUGAAAGAUAUCAAGGAAAAUAGCAUCAUAAGAUAAUGUAUUUCUCCAUUAGGAGAAGAACGAACUCGAAUAAGAUUUAGUUCGUUAAAUAUUAUCUAUUACCCAUAUAUAGGAUAUAUACUUCUAAAACAAUAUGAUUGUCAAUGAGAAGAUCUUCCAAUAUUUUCAUGACUCCAUAAGAUGUAGUUGGAAAGAAAGACAAAUCUUAAGCAUGUUAAAAAUUUGGGGUUGUGUGCUAACAAGCAAUAUUUGUUUGAUAACAAUCUUGUGGGAUAUCCUUAAAUUAACUUUUGGAUAUCGCUUCUAUAAACCAACUAACAAAUGUUGUUUUGUUGGGUAGUUCAUUGUAAUUCUACAAUGUGAUUUGCCUAAAAGCAAAUGAACGAGAGAUAGAACUCAAAGAAUGGGUUCUUUGAGAGACAAGAAAGUAAUCAACAAAUAUAACAACCUAGUUCCUAUACCUCAAGCUCCAAGGUAGUCGAUAAGGAUUUAUAAACCGUCUCAGUUGAAUGGUUUUGAACUUUAUGACUAUGUCAUAGAGUUGCACCUCUUAAUUCGAAAGAAGUAAGAAUGAAAAUCCUUAUGACUACACUGAGUGCAUAUACGAUAUAUACUCAAGGAAAUGGUAAAGUAACAUUUGACUCGAAAUAAUGAAACCUUCAUAGCUAAUUGGUAGCUUAAGGUGACUACAAUCAAAGAGAAUGGGUGACUUUGAAGAAACCAUCUUUGAGAUAGUCUUGGUUUCAAUUAAUUCGAAGAUUGCUAGCUACAACUAAAUGGUGAUUCAAUGUUUGGACAUUAUUAAGAUAGUCUUGAUAAUAUAUGUCUAAAACUAUGAAUCACAAGACAUGUAAGUUGUAGAGAUCCAUCCAUCAUGGAUCUUAGCAAGUUAGUGGGAGCUAUUUGCAUUUU